AAUAGUUUGGUGGAAUAAAGUAAAUAUUCAUUUUUAAUAAAUUUUUUAAAUAAUAAAUUAAAGGUAAAAUUUUUAUUUUUUUAAAUAAAACAUUAUGAAAAAAUAGAUUAUCUUUGAAAAUAAGGAUUUAAACUAGGAUUAGAUACCCUAUUAUUCUUUAUUAUAUUAGUUGCCAGGGUAGUAAAAUUUUUUAAACCUAAAGAAUUUGGCGGUACCUUAUUCUUACUAGAGGAACCUGCUCUUGGAUCGAUAAUCCACGUUUAAAUGUACAUAUUUUAGUUUUCAGUUUGUAUACCGCCGUUGUCAGAUUAUUUUUAAAAAAUAUAAUCUAAUUAAUUAUUAAUUGGGACUUCAGGUCAAGGUGCAGCUUAUAAAUAUGGGAGAAGUGGGUUACAAUAAUUUAAA
rnacentral:rRNA from 1 species